GCUGUGAUGGCCGAGUGGUUAAGGUGUUGGAUUUGAAAUCCAAUGGGGUUUCGCCGCGCAGGUUAGAACCCUGCUCUCAGCG
rnacentral:tRNA from 1 species